CACAAGAGUCAUUGGGUGCUGGAGCCAAUGCCAGCUAACUAUGGGCAGGAGACAGGGUACACUGAAGUGAUUGCCAGCCAAUCACAGGGCACAAUUAAUAAUCAAUUUAUGAUUAUUUUCUCCCCUUUCUUUCUUUGUUCUUUUCUUUCUUUUCUUAUCUUUUUUAAAAACUAGUUUAUAGAAGUAACAGUAGUUUAUAUCCCUCAAUAUCUGGGAGACUUGGUCUCACACUUCUAGCCAUUCGGCUUCCUUUUUGUCCUCACCAGUCAUUCUCUUUGGUAGGCUUGUAAACAAACCAACAGGGGCACUUUUAUCUCUUCCGGUUCUGUUCUCACAAAGACAAAGCACAAAGGAGAUCUGCGCCAGACACUGCAAGACUACAAGCUGCAGUCUUCAUAAAUCACAGCCAAUCCACAUCACAGUUGACCCUCACCCUAAAACUUCACAGAGCUGCAUACAAGACUCCGCUUUCCUCUUAUCCCAUUGCCAAAUAGCACUUUCAUCAUGUUUGAAAUAGAGUUUGACAAUGCCUUUGUAUUUUAAGGAUAUCAUAGUCAAGCUCAACUCAAAAGCCCUUCUUGCAUACUUAUACAAUAUUUGUUCUUAUUCAAAAUGAAUGCCCUGUGAUUGACUGUUGACCAGUCGGGGAUGUAUGCCUCCUGUUCCCCAAAGUCAGUCGAAGUAGGCUGACCUAUCCCACAUUGAAUAGUGGAUGGAUUCAAAAUGGAGUUCAUACUGUGAAAGGAAAACACAAUCAACUGACAUUUUACAAGUUAUUUUCACUGAAGUGACUUUGUGCUAGUCCAAUGACACAAUAAAUCACUCGGCAGAGGGACGAAUAAAAGCCCUACCGUGCAUUAUUUUAAAAAA